rnacentral:rRNA from 1 species
CAGUAGCCACGGGAAUACGGAGGAUCCAAGCGUUAUCCGGAAUCAUUGGGUUUAAAGGGUCCGUAGGCGGUCUUGUAAGUCAGUGGUGAAAGCCCAUCGCUCAACGGUGGAACGGCCAUUGAUACUGCAGGACUUGAAUUAUUGGGAAGUAACUAGAAUAUGUAGUGUAGCGGUGAAAUGCUUAUAGAUUACAUGGAAUACCAAUUGCGAAGGCAGGUUACUACCAAUUGAUUGACGCUGAUGGACGAAAGCGUGGGUAGCGAACAGGAUUAGAUACCCCCGUAGUCCCUGUCUCUUAUAC